rnacentral:lncRNA from 1 species
CUCCGCACUGGCAAAACCUUGAGGCCCACAGGCUGACCGCUGGUCGGUGCCUCUCCUCGGAGGCCGUGAACUGGCUCCCAGGCAGACAAAGAAACAGAAUGGCACCUUCUCUGCUGACUCAGAGCAGCAAGCCCACACCUGCCCCGGGCCUCAGCAGCAGGCAGCUCCACGUCACAGUGCUGAGCCCCUGGCGCCUGGCGACCCCACCACCCAGUUUCACCGCUGGAGGGGCUGAGGCAGACACUGUCUCACCCAAGCCCACCCCGAGCUGGCCCAGCAGAGAGCAAGGUCCUGGUGGGAAGGCCAGGAGCUGAGCAGAGUGGGCCUUGGCCACGGGUCCCUCCACGGUGCGGCCCCUCCUGGCCUCUGUCUGAUAGUGGCAGCCUUCCCAAGGAAACCGCUGUCACUCCUCUCCGAGCCAAAGAGCAAACAUUUGCUCGGCAAACACCGAGCACUUAGCACGUGAGAAAACAAAACAGCGACGCCCCAUGUGUGAUCUGGACUCUAGAAGCCAAAAAGCAAGGCCCCUCCAGACCCUCCGGGGCAGGACCUUCCGGCCUCUUGCAGGCGCUGGGGCUCCAGGGGUCUCCGCCUGGGCCUUCACGCAGCCUCCCUGCUGUAUCUCCAGGCAACAGAGCAACUGGCCGUCCUUGGCUCCGAUGUUGGCCAGAAACAGCAUCUUCUCUUUCUGAUGACACGCAGCGCCACGAGAGGCGCAGCGCUGUUGUCCAUUUCCGUUGUCCUGGGGACAGCUUGACAAGAGCAGCGUGGACAGGCCCAAAGGAGUGUGUGGAAGGACACCGGCCGGUUCCGUCCCAGGAGGCAGAGCUGAACAAGGCUCUCGGCCGUCACACCAUCAGCCCAGAGGAUGACACACGAGGGCCGUAUUGCUUGGCUUUGCAUUUCUGAUUCCUGGUGAGAAAAUCAUUUUUCAUAUACGUAGUAGCCAUUUGGAUGUCACAGCUCUGAACUACCCGCUUUUGGCCUCUGUCCAUUUAUCAGUUGGCACGAGACCCUGCUCUGGAGGAAGGUCCCUGCUGUCUCCGGGGAAGACCCCAGCUCUCCUGGGCUGUGCCACCGUGGGUAGGCAUUGUCACUGAGGCCUGGCAAGCUGCUCCCCAGAGAGACCCCCCACACACAUCCGCCCAGGCUUCUCUCACCCCUCCAAGCGCCUCUGAUGCCCCCCCAGUUUAAGGCCCCCACUUGGCCGCUUCCCAGGGGCCACCCACUGAGAACAGGAGAGACCUGACCUCAACCGCAAAGCAAACUAGGAAAAUUAUGCAAAUUUGCUGUCAAUAUGAUGAUUUGAAUGGCGAGAGCUUCCUGAUUUAUGAAGCUGCAAGUCCAGUAUUUGGACACCGAGAUUCUCUUUCCCGUCACAAGCAGCAUGACAACCACAUGGAAACUGCUGGAUGAUGGAUUGUAAACAGCUGGUGGGGUCGGGCCUUCGCCGCCCAAGGAACUGCAAAUCGAAAAAUCCACAUGUUUAAUAAACAGAUGAUGAAUCAGAAUGUGAACGGGGAA